UAGCUAGUUGGUGGGGUAAGGGCCUACCAAGGCGACGAUCGGUAGCUGGUCUGAGAGGAUGGCCAGCCACACUGGAACUGAGACACGGUCCAGACUCCUACGGGAGGCAGCAGUGGGGAAUAUUGGACGAUGGGGGUAACCCUGAUCCAGCAAUGCCGCGUGUGUGAAGAAGGCCUGAGGGUUGUAAAGCACUUUCAGUGGGGAGGAGAGUUGAUUGGUUAAGAGCUGGUUAAUUGGACGUUACCCACAGAAGAAGCACCGGCUAACUCCGUGCCAGCAGCCGCGGUAAUACGGAGGGUGCGAGCGUUAAUCGGAAUUACUGGGCGUAAAGGGUGCGUAGGUGGUUUAUUAAGUUAUGUGUAAAAUCCCUGGGCUCAACCUGGGCAGGUCAUAUAAUACUGGUAGACUCGAGUAUGGGAGAGGGUAGUGGAAUUUCCGGUGUAGCGGUGAAAUGCGUAGAGAUCGGAAGGAACACCAGUGGCGAAGGCGGCUACCUGGCCUAAUACUGACACUGAGGCACGAAAGCGUGGGGAGCAAACAGGAUUAGAUACCCUGGUAGUCCACGCUGUAAACGAUGUCAACUAGCUGUUGGUUAUAUGAAUAUAAUUAGUGGCGC
rnacentral:rRNA from 1 species